AUCACUAUUUCUAAGAAACGGCGAUAUCUUUGAUUUUAAAUUUAUAUCAUUUUAAGAAUUUUAUUACGAAGAAAAAUGAUUUCUUUGUAUGAAAAUUCUUCUAACACAAUAAAUUUUAAUUACUGCAAAUUGGUAGCUAUUUUAAUAUUGUAUAGUUUAUAAACCAAAAAUAAACUUUGGCUUCUAUCAUCAGUAUUCCCACUAUUCUCUCUUUGCAGAAAUUCGCUUUCGAAGGACAAUCUUCGAUGUAAGGAAAAGCAGUGAAGUGAAUUAUGAAAUCGUUGAUUAUUCUUUGAAGCCAAAAGUGUUCUCCUUAUGAUACGAAAAUUUUCAAAAAGUAAAAGAACUUUUGACUUUUUAGAAUGAAUGGCUUCAUCACAAAAGAAAGAGAUGCUGUCUUCACUGUGUAUUACUGAGAUGAAAAAAAAAAAAAAAAACCCCUGCUCACAUCAAAAAGAUGCUGUCGGCAUUGUGUAUUACUGAGAUGGAAAAAAAAAAAAAAAAAAAAAACCCUGCUCACAUCAAGAAGGUGCUGUCGGCAUUGUGUAUUACUGAGAUGAAAAAGAAAAACCUGCUGACAUCAAGAAGGU